UUUGAAGAAAAAGAAGAAAGCACAAGAUAAAGGAGAAAAGUAAAAAGAAGAAAGAAAAAAGAAAAAGGACAAAAAAGAAAUCCGACGCGAAAAAGGCGACGAGAUAAAAGGAUUCGAAGGAAAUGAGGACGAUGAGAAAAACCGUAAGGAUCGCUUAAGCCUCAUCCUCGCGUGCAAAUGAGAGGGAGAGAGACGCCAAGACUUUGAUACAUAUAUAUACAUAUGUACACAAUACUUACACAUAUAAAAAAAAAUUUCUAGAUAAGAGGAUAUAAUUUAAGAUUUUAUUAGUCUAGAUAUAUGUCUCUGUUUAUGUCGCUCGUACAUGAGAAGUACAAUUUUGCACAUAUAUAUACAAUUACAUAAGAAAAUCUUCCACCCACUAAAAUACAACGAAACCGUAAUUCAACACAAGGUAAAAUAGCGAGAGAAACAAAAAAAGAGAGAGAGAGAGAGAGAAAGAAAAUUCUAAACUUCCAACUUGUUAACUAAUUCUGCAAACUUUAAAACUACAAAAAAAACAUUAGAAAAAUAUUUUUCCUUUUAUCGUUUUAUUCAACGAUAGAAACAAAAUAAAAAAAAACAACAAACAAAAUAAAGACAAACAAAAAAAAAACAACAGUUUCGUAAAAUCGAAUAAAUUCCCCAAGACUCCAGAGAGUGACUCUCUCUUUUUCGUGCGGCAAAAAACGAAAACAGGACCAGAUACAAGAACAACAACAACAACAACAAAAAGAACCAAAAUUCUCAGAAUAAAAUAGGAAUAAGACUGACGCUUAAAAAAGCGAUUGUGACACGUUUUGAAGAAAAAAAGUGUGUGUUGCUGUGUGUUUUUUCCAAAAAAAAAAAAAUUUUUCUAAUUUCUAAUUUUUUUAAUGUUUGAUGCGAAGAAGAAAAAAAUUUUCAUUCCCAUUUCCUCGUAGUUAUGCGAAUAUGUGUAAAUAAAGAAAAGGAAAUUUGGGUGAAAAAAAAAUUGUGAAGUGAAUUUUCGGUUCUUUUUUUCUUCUCCUACCUUUUUUGACAAAAAAAAAAAAAAAAAAGAAGAAGAAAAAGAAGACAAAAAAAAAGGGAAAAGGAGGGAAAAAUUACGGGAAAAAAAAAUUAGUUAUUCAAAAUGCCACGUUGUUACAUGGUGAAGAAGGCUUUAUGCAACAAGUAUAUAAACAGCGUCGCCAGAGGAUUCGAGAAUCGGCCUCGAGGAAGAAGCACACCAUCCCCAACCAAUGUCUCUCCCCUGGAAGACAAUCCUUAUCCUGUUGCACUUCAAGAAGCGCCACUAUCGGAGGAGAAAGAUGAAUCGACAUCCUCAUGUGAAAAAUCAACAAAUCGUCUCGAAAGGAUCCACGACGAGAAUGCAAUCAACCAAUCAGAUUCUCAGCAAAAAUCGCCAAAGAGACAACAUCAAAAAAACACCGAAAACCCCGUCGUCGUCGUUGUCGUCGCCGCCGCAGCCGCCGAACAACAAUCGGAGAAAUCGCUUGAAAAUUCCAUAAAAAAAUCGCCUAAAAAACGUUUUCAAAGGGUACAAGACGUCAUCGAGAAUGUAAUCGAUCAAUGCAAUCCACCAAAAUUGACAAAUCUAAAAUCAACGGUAAUUUCAUCUAUUGGUAAUGUAUUGCAACCGACAUCAUCACAAACAUCAUCAUCAUCAUCAUCAUCAUCAAUAUCGUCUUCAAAAAAUCCCGACGAAAUUAGGACGGAAAAUAUUCUCUCCCAAUAUAAUCAAUCAUCAUCAUCAUUAUUAUCAAUCGAUGGUUGCGCCUCACGUCUCGAAAUUCUCUCGCCCUACAAAACAACGGAACGUUUUCGUUCAACUUUCGAAUCGGUCAUCAUUACAAAGGAUCAAAUACAGAAUUCCGAUCAUCAAAUGGGACAUCACUUUGGUAAUAAUAAUCGAAUUACGGAUCAAGUUCAAAGUGAAUUUGUCAAGGAUCGAAGGGAAAGUGGAACGAAUUAUGUUGAGGAGAAAAUGGAAAUUGGCGUCAUUCGAGAGAGAUCGGUAAUUACCGAGGGGGAAACGAGGUUAAAUCGAUUGGCAAGGGAAACGGAAGUUGCGAGUGAAUUUUUCCGGGAUCACAGAGAGAGAUCGUUGAAUGUUGAGACGACGACGACAACAACAACAACAACAAGUGAUGUGGCGGCGACGAGGACGACGACAACAAUUGGCCUAUUUAGAGAUAGAUCGGCGGCCGAGACGGAAGCUGCUCACGAUCUAUUGGAAUUGUCGAGAUCAUUGCCGCCAUUACCGCAACCAAGUGUCGCGAUUGGUCCGCAAAAUGUCAUCGAAUUGCCAUCGACAGACGUUCAGGAAAUGACUGUAUAUCAACCUGCCGAGCAACCGGUCUAUCAAGUGAACACAAUUUUCGCCAGUGAUUUAACAAACACUGGAAUAUAUCAUCAUCAUCAUCAUCAUCAGCAACAUCAUCAUCAACAACAGCAGCAGCAACAGCAAAAUCAUCAUCAAAAUCAUCAUCACAGUCUUCAUCACAGUAAUCAUCAUACGGGAAUUAUUUAUGAGCCAACGGCGGUAGCAGUAGCAGCAACAACAACAACAACGGCAACAGCAACGACAAAUGCAACAAUUAUUCAACAAACGCCAGGCGGUGUUUUUAUACCAUUAUCGCCAGUUCAAGAGAUUUUGUUCACGUACAGCACUCCGUCCGUGCCGACGUCAAUUAUCACUCAGCAAACAAUUGAGACAGUUCCGCCAUUGACGCCACCGACAUCCGAGUGCAGCAGCGACAUCGAGAACAAUAAUCCAAAUUCACAACCAACUCAACGUGACAAGGAGGUGCAGACAAUCACCGAACAGUCCGAGGUGAAGGUCGCCGCCUACACCUACGACACUCUUCUCGUCGCCGAUGGGAGAUCGAAAAAUAAAAAGCUACCACCGCAACAGCAGAACGUAGAGGAUGUCGACACUGAACCUGUUGAUAAUCUCGAGUCGCCCAAGGGUGGACGGUAUAUUUGCUGUGAAUGUGGCAAACAAUAUGCGACAUCAUCAAAUUUAUCGCGACACAAGCAGACACAUCGCAGUAUUGAUUCACAAUCGGCGAAAAAAUGUAUUUACUGUGGCAAGGCGUACGUGAGUAUGCCGGCAUUGGCAAUGCACGUAUUGACACACAAAUUAACGCACAGCUGUGGUGUUUGUGGGAAAAUGUUCUCCAGACCAUGGUUACUUCAAGGCCAUUUACGAAGUCACACGGGCGAAAAACCAUAUGGCUGCGCCCACUGCGGCAAGGCAUUUGCCGAUCGUUCAAAUCUACGUGCCCACAUGCAAACACAUUCGGCCGACAAAAAUUACGAAUGUCCAAGGUGUCGAAAAUCAUUUGCGCUCAAAUCUUAUUUAAAUAAACAUCUCGAGUCCGCAUGCCAAAAGGAAAAUGGUGAUAUGGAUGACAAUGAAGUUUCGUCCACGUAAAACAACGAUUUUAAGACUGUUAAACUUGCAGUUGAAAUUGUACCAAUUGAAGAAGAAUUUCCCACGACGAAUAUUUUCCAGUCACAAUAAUGGGAAAUCGUAUAAAGCACAUAAGAAGUUUAUAUGUAUAGAAAUAAGCAACGAUCAAAAAAAAGAAGAAAUAAAGAAAGAAAUGGAAAUUUAUCGUAAACGUUCGAGGACCAGGAAAGCAAAUACAAGUGCGUGUCGUACUUUAUGUUUCGUUCGACCUCUUCAGGACUUCACAUUAACAGGACCUCAUGUAAUUUUCAUCAUUUUAGUGUAAAAUUUGGAUGAUUUCGACGAUUUGGACAAUAUUCUACAAUGGAGAAUUUCGAAAAAUUGGCGCAUCACAUCGCAGUCUUUCGAGAGACGUCGGAGAGGGAACAAUACUCGUCGGGACACCAUCAAAAUUGUUGCAAACUUGCCCGGAAUUUUCGAUUUUAAGGCUAUAAGAAGAGAGGAAACCCAACAAAAAAGGGGACUCAAGACUCAACUCAACAAGCUUGGAUCGAAAUUUUCCGGAAUUCUUCAAAAAUUUCAUUUAGUGUUCCGAUUUUAUUGUAAAUUAGAAUAUUUUUUUCUCAAAUUUAGAAUUUUAAUUUCUUCGUCUAAUGUGAAAUUAUUUUUGUAAAUUAUUUAGCUAGGAAUUUUGAAUUAAAAAAAUGCAAUUAUAUUAGCUAGGAAAUUAACAAUUAAGGUAUACUAGUUUUAAGGAAGAAAAAAUAAUUUCUAUUUAAGAAGAGAACUUUCAACAUCCAGGAUCAACUUUCUUCUUCAAAGAAAAGGGAAUCCCUGGCUAAAUAAUUUAACAAAUUUUCGGUAAUGUUCGACGAGAAAUAACCUAAUACAUCGAAAGCUAAGUACUUUAGGAAAUUUCGAAGAUUUCCGCACAAUUUAGAACCAUUCUUCGGAGUUAUUUGAAGUUCAGUUAACCUUUUCCUUUCCUAUCGAU